ACCAGUGUUCCCGAGCGGUCAAAGGGGGUGGACUUAAGAUCCACUGCGUAUGCUUCGUGGGUUCGAAUCCCACCGCUGGUA
rnacentral:tRNA from 1 species